rnacentral:sRNA from 1 species
GUAGAAGAUCUGUAAAACUUCUGUGGUCACCGGAGAUGUUGCUGAAAGUUUUUGUACUCUAUACAUGUACUAUACAUGUACAUGUAUAUAUAUAUACCAGUAUCUGAAUUCAUCGUUCAUAUAAUAUCAUGAAAUACCAGUAUUGUUCUAUGUAUCUCAUAUAUAUACCAGUAUAUUCUUUUUUUUAUUAAUCAUGUAUACUCUUCUCUUGAUUUUUCUGGGAAAGUGCUUUAUAUUCAUCCAUUGAUUGUUUAUUGUGAUUUUGUUAAUCUGUUCACUUUCUCAAAAUCCUCAGGGGGCUUUUUGUUAAGUUUUUGCACUGUUAGUUAUUACAUUUCUAGUCCUAACUGUUCUAUUAGAAUAAAAAAAUGUACCGGUACAUGUAAUUCAGAAAUACAUGUAUGUACCGCCAGUGGUAUAUUCAUGAAUGCCAAUAUCAGCAUUAUGACUCAAUUCUUUUGAAUUUAUGCAGUAUGCACUGAAAAAUAAUUUUACCAAUGUAAACAGAAAAUCCAUUGUUUCAAUAGGUUAUUUACCAAAUAGCUAGGCUAAACACAUUUGAAUUAGGAUGUUGCCUAUUUAAUUACAAAAUGCUAGUUCUCUAAUGUAUGAUGAAUGAAUAAAGUUG